UACGUAGGGGGCAAGCGUUGUCCGGAUUUAUUGGGCGUAAAGGGCGUGCAGGCGGUUUGUUAAGUGCAGGGUGAAAGCUCCCGGCUCAACUGGGAGAGGUCCUUGCAUACUGGCGAACUCGAGGGAGGCAGAGGAAAGUGGAAUUCCCGGUGUAGUGGUGAUAUGCGUAGAUAUCGGGAGGAACACCUGUGGCGAAGGCGGCUUUCUGGGCCUUACCUGACGCUGAGACGCGAAAGCGUGGGGAGCGAACCGG
rnacentral:rRNA from 1 species